UACGAAGGGUGCAAACGUUGCUCGGAAUCAUUGGGCGUAAAGCGCACGUAGGCGGCCUCGCAAGUCUGAUGUGAAAUCCCUCGGCUCAACCGAGGACGUGCAUCGGAAACUGCGGGGCUUGAGUACUGAAGAGGAUCGCGGAAUUCCCGGUGUAGAGGUGAAAUUCGUAGAUAUCGGGAGGAACACCAGUGGCGAAGGCGGCGAUCUGGGCAGAUACUGACGCUGAGGUGCGAAAGCUAGGGGAGCAAACGGGG
rnacentral:rRNA from 1 species